rnacentral:rRNA from 1 species
AUAUUCUGUAGCAAGGUUAACCGAAUAGGGGAGCCGGAGGGAAACCGAGUCUUAACCGGGCGUUAAGUUGCAGGGUAUAGACCCGAAACCCGGUGAUCUAGCCAUGGGCAGGUUGAAGGUUGGGUAACACUAACUGGAGGACCGAACCGACUAAUGUUGAAAAAUUAGCGGAUGACCUGUGGCUGGGGGUGAAAGGCCAAUCAAACCGGGAGAUAGCUGGUUCUCCCCGAAAGCUAUUUAGGUAGCGCCUCGUGAAUUCAUCUCCGGGGGUAGAGCACUGUUUCGGCUAGGGGGCCAUCCCGGCUUACCAACCCGAUGCAAACUGCGAAUACCGGAGAAUGUUAUCACGGGAGACACACGGCGGGUGCUAACGUCCGUCGUGAAGAGGGAAACAACCCAGACCGCCAGCUAAGGUCCCAAAGUCAUGGUUAAGUGGGAAACGAUGUGGGAAGGCCCAGACAGCCAGGAUGUUGGCUUAGAAGCAGCCAUCAUUUAAAGAAAGCGUAAUAGCUCACUGGUCGAGUCGGCCUGCGCGGAAGAUGUAACGGGGCUAAACCAUGCACCGAAGCUGCGGCAGCGACACUCAGGUGUUGUUGGGUAGGGGAGCGUUCUGUAAGCCUGCGAAGGUGGCCUGUGAGGGUUGCUGGAGGUAUCAGAAGUGCGAAUGCUGACAUAAGUAACGAUAAAGCGGGUGAAAAGCCCGCUCGCCGGAAGACCAAGGGUUCCUGUCCAACGUUAAUCGGGGCAGGGUGAGUCGACCCCUAAGGCGAGGCCGAAAGGCGUAGUCGAUGGGAAACGGGUUAAUAUUCCCGUACUUGGUGUUACUGCGAAGGGGGGACGGAGAAGGCUAUGUUGGCCGGGCGACGGUUGUCCCGGUUUAAGCGUGUAGGUGUGUGUUCCAGGUAAAUCCGGUUCACUUUAACACUGAGGUGUGACGACGAGGCACUACGGUGCUGAAGCAACAAAUGCCCUGCUUCCAGGAAAAGCCUCUAAGCAUCAGGUAACAUCAAAUCGUACCCCAAACCGACACAGGUGGUCAGGUAGAGAAUACCAAGGCGCUUGAGAGAACUCGGGUGAAGGAACUAGGCAAAAUGGUGCCGUAACUUCGGGAGAAGGCACGCUGACACGUAGGUGAAGUGAUUUACUCAUGGAGCUGAAGUCAGUCGAAGAUACCAGCUGGCUGCAACUGUUUAUUAAAAACACAGCACUGUGCAAACACGAAAGUGGACGUAUACGGUGUGACGCCUGCCCGGUGCCGGAAGGUUAAUUGAUGGGGUCAGCGCAAGCGAAGCUCCUGAUCGAAGCCCCGGUAAACGGCGGCCGUAACUAUAACGGUCCUAAGGUAGCGAAAUUCCUUGUCGGGUAAGUUCCGACCUGCACGAAUGGCGUAAUGAUGGCCAGGCUGUCUCCACCCGAGACUCAGUGAAAUUGAACUCGCUGUGAAGAUGCAGUGUACCCGCGGCAAGACGGAAAGACCCCGUGAACCUUUACUAUAGCUUGACACUGAACAUUGAGCCUUGAUGUGUAGGAUAGGUGGGAGGCUUUGAAGUGUGGACGCCAGUCUGCAUGGAGCCGACCUUGAAAUACCACCCUUUAAUGUUUGAUGUUCUAACGUGGACCCGUGAUCCGGGUUGCGGACAGUGUCUGGUGGGUAGUUUGACUGGGGCGGUCUCCUCCUAAAGAGUAACGGAGGAGCACGAAGGUUGGCUAAUCCUGGUCGGACAUCAGGAGGUUAGUGCAAUGGCAUAAGCCAGCUUGACUGCGAGCGUGACGGCGCGAGCAGGUGCGAAAGCAGGUCAUAGUGAUCCGGUGGUUCUGAAUGGAAGGGCCAUCGCUCAACGGAUAAAAGGUACUCCGGGGAUAACAGGCUGAUACCGCCCAAGAGUUCAUAUCGACGGCGGUGUUUGGCACCUCGAUGUCGGCUCAUCACAUCCUGGGGCUGAAGUAGGUCCCAAGGGUAUGGCUGUUCGCCAUUUAAAGUGGUACGCGAGCUGGGUUUAGAACGUCGUGAGACAGUUCGGUCCCUAUCUGCCGUGGGCGCUGGAGAACUGAGGGGGGCUGCUCCUAGUACGAGAGGACCGGAGUGGACGCAUCACUGGUGUUCGGGUUGUCAUGCCAAUGGCACUGCCCGGUAGCUAAAUGCGGAAGAGAUAAGUGCUGAAAGCAUCUAAGCACGAAACUUGCCCCGA